ACAUAGGCGAUGAGAAAGAGAAGUACAUGCCGAAAACAGUUUUCAGAGAGUUUGUGGCUGGUGGAAACAAACACUGUCCGGUAUGGAAAUGGACUUUUGAGCUCUCAGCUGAAAUCAGUAAGCUGCGGCGUUUUUGUCUUGCGUUAAAAGACGAAAAGUGAUUUCACAUGAAUGUUUGUGAAAUAAUUAGGGUGGCACCGCGGUCCAUUCGUCCCUAUA
rnacentral:ncRNA from 1 species